rnacentral:tRNA from 1 species
GCCCUGGUGGUGUAGCUGGUUAUCAUCAGAGACUGUCACUCUCUGGACCCGGGUUCAAUUCCCGGCUAGGGCGCCA